GAUGGCUCGAAGCCUGGUACUGGAGUUACAAACACAGGACAUGUCUUGACCUCACGUUGCUCAGUCUUGUGGGCCAGAGUGACCCAUAAACAGAUUCAUUGCCCAGUGUGAACGUCACCGGCACUCUCAGGCGAUGCAGUGGUGAAGAACCCGCUUGCCAGUGCAGGAGACGUGCAAGAGACAAGCCAAGGAGGAAAGGACACCGAUGAAUGGCGUGCAUGCAGGGACCU